rnacentral:rRNA from 1 species
AGUGGAUUAUUCUAAACGGCCGCAGAAUUUUAACUGUGCUAAGGUAGCAUAAUCAUUUGUUCUUUAAUUGAGGACUAGUAUGAAUGGUUUAACGAAAUUAUACUAUUUUUUUUAUAUCUAAUAAAAUUUUAUCUUAAAGUCAAAAAGCUUUAAUAAAAUAAAAAGACAAAAAGACCCUGUAGAGUUUAAUUUCUCAUGUUAAAAAUAAUCUUUUAGAAAUUUUGUUGGGGCAACAUGGAAAAAAUAAAUUUUUCUUAACUUAAAAUCCUAUAUAAAAUCAUUAAUUUAAUAAAACAAAAUAAAUUACCUCGGGGAUAACAGCGUAAUUUUCUUUGAGAGCCCAAAUCGAAAAGAAAAAUUACA